ACCCCACUAUUAGCUCUCAAGGUAAACUCUAAGCACUACGGUUUUAGAACUAAAACUUAAAUAACAUGGCGGCGAGCUUAAAUUUCAGAGGAACCUACCAGGUAAAUGAUAACCCGCAAAAUAUUCUUACUUUACCUAAAAGUUUAUAUAUCGCCGUCUAGUAAUCUUUCGAGAAGGCUACGAAAAGUAUUAACAAAAAGACAGGCCAUGACAUAGCACAUGGUAAAGACUUGAGGUGGGUUACAAUAAGGGGUUCUUUCGGAAAAUUGCCUAAAGGCAACUUUAAGAUGGAUUUGAAAGUAAUAAUUAAUAUAAAUAUAUAAUGAAUCUUCCUGAGGUCGUGUACACACCG
rnacentral:rRNA from 1 species